AGUGAACGCUGGCGGCGUGCCUAACACAUGCAAGUCGAGCGGAGCGGCGGACGGGUGAGUAAUGCCUAGGAAUCUGCCUGGUCGUUGGGGAUAACGUCCGGAAACGAGCGCUAAUACCGAAUACUAUCAGAUGAGCCUAGGUCGGAUUGGCUAGUGGGUGGGGGAAAGGCCUACCAAGGCGACGAUGCGUAACUGGGCUGAGAGGGUGAUCAGGCACAGUGGAACUGAGACACGGUCCAGACGCCUACGGGAGGCAGCAGUGGGGAAUAGUGGACAAGGGGCGAAAGCCUGAUCGAGCCAUGCCGCGUGGGGGAAGAAGGUCGUCGGAUUGUAAAGCACUGUAAGUUGGGAGGCGUUACCAACAGAAUAAGCACCGGCUAACUGCGUGCCAGCCGCCGCGGUAAUAC
rnacentral:rRNA from 1 species